rnacentral:rRNA from 1 species
AGAGUUUGAUCCUGGCUCAGGAUGAACGCUAGCGGCGCGCCUUACACAUGCAAGUCGAACGGUAACAUGGAGAGCUUGCUCUCUGAUGACGAGUGGCAAACGGCUGAGUAACACGUAGGAAUUUUUUAUAGUGGGGGAUAGCCAGUCGAAAGAUUGGAUAAUACCGCAUGUGAUUUUCGAAUCAAAGCAGCAAUGCGCUAUAAGCGAAGCCUGCGUCCCAUCAGGUAGUUGGUAAGGUAAUGGCUUACCAAGCCUUAGACGGGUAGCUGGUCUGAGAGGAUGAUCAGCCAGACUGGAACUGCGACACGGUCCAGACACCUACGGGUGGCAGCAGUGGGGAAUUUUGCUCAAUGGGGGAAACCCUGAAGCAGCGACGCCGCGUGGAGGAUUAAGGCCCUUUGGGUUGUAAACUCCUGUGGUUGACUACUAAUUUUGAAGAGUCAUCUAGAAAGAGGUUGCUAACUCUGUG